UUUUCUGUUGUAUAUGUCUGAAACUCUUAUUAAGAACUGUUUGGUUGGAUAUAGUUAGACUUCGUUUGACAUUGCCGGGAGAUUGCGUUACGUGCGGUGAGAAAAUACGUUCGAAAAAUACCAUAUUUGUUUCCGUACGUAAUAUUGCGUUCCGCAUAUCGCGAUGAGUCGGUUACAAUAUAUUUUUUGCGGUCCCAUUGGAGAACGCAGAACCAUCCCUAUAUGCUUUUUUCACAACUCCAUUUUAUUUAAUAGCGUUAGAUAGGCCUCAAUACCAAACUAAUUAAG
rnacentral:lncRNA from 1 species